GACGAACGCUGGCGGCGUGCCUAAUACAUGCAAGUAGAACGCACAGUUUAUACCGUAGCUUGCUACACCAUAGACUGUCAGUUGCGAACGGGGGAGUAACCCUUCGGUAACCUGCCUGGUAGCGGCGGAUAACUAUUGCAAACGAUAGCUAAUACCGCAUAAUAUUAAUUAUUGCAUGGUAAUUGUUGGAAAGAUGCAAUUGCAUCACUACCAGAUGGACUUGCGUUGGAUUAGUGAGUAGGCGAGGUAACGGCUCAUCUAGGCGACGAUACAUAGCCGACAGGAGAUGGUGGUCGGCCGCACUGGGACGGUGACAGGCCCCAGACGGCUACAGGAGGCAGCAGUAGGGGAUCUUCGGCAAUGGAUGAAAGACUGACCAAGCGACGCGGCAUGAGUAAAGAAGGUUUUCGGGUGGGAAAGCUCUGUUGUCAGAGAAGAACGGGUGUGAGCGUGGAAAGUUCACAGUGUGACGGUAACUGACAAGGAAGCGACGGCUAACUACGUG
rnacentral:rRNA from 1 species